UUCUAUUCCGGGUUUGUUCUUAUUAUGGUGCUCUUUAUGCAUUUAGGAUUCUUCGUUCAAUCCACUGUCUGACUUCUUGGGGUGUUUUGUAGAAAUUCCAUCUAUUAUCGCCAUAUACACUUAGAGUCGCUGAGGAGAUCCAACGGAAUUUAAUGUUAUGAGAUUUUAAUAUAGUAAUCUCAGCAGAGAAACUUCUUCUUCGUAAUCUUGUUAUAUAAGAAUAAUCUUGGAAUACGAGUAUAUUUCUCAGCUGAGUUUCUAGCUGAUUUGGGGAUCUACUUGCUUUGAAGACUUGGUCUUUUAUCUUAAAGGAAGAAAAAUGUACUAUUACAUCCCUUGGGACACUUUGUGCAAUUCCCCUUGGUUUAGGGAGUCUAUGCCAUUUAUUCAUUAGGAAUGGAUAUAAUGUAAUGUGGACUCCCAAUUUUUCAAAAAAUUCCUCCAAGAAUGUUUUUAGUUCUUCAUCCUUUACUUCUUCCUCUAUAUUUCGAAAUCUGAGGUUCUGUCUUCUGGCACGAUCUUCUAUGAUUCAAAAAUUGCUUGUCCCUUUUUUUAAUAAUUGAUUAGUCUCAUCCUUCUCAGCAAGUCUGUGUUCCAUUUGAUUUAAACGUAAACUUAAAUUCUCAAUCUCUUGUUUAAUACCCAAGGCGCUAGAUUUAAUUUCAUCCUUAAGUGUUUCCACCAUGGAUGUAUACACUCUUUUAAAAAGACUUGUGUUACAAAUUGAUCUUCAGAUUCUUGGGAGGUCUCUAGUAAUUUCUGGGGCACUUUUUCGGUAUUGGCAAUCAUAGAGUUUUCUUUUGUGGCAACUGGUGAAUAAAAUCCCGGUGGAUUCUUGUCGAGUUUAUUCUCUUUUUUGUUCCUUCUUGUAGCCUGGCCUUUAGUCGCCAUUCUAGCUACUCACUUUUCCUUUCUCCUUCUUUUU